rnacentral:rRNA from 1 species
UAACUAGGAGUGACAUGUCAGAGCCGCGGAAGGACACAUCCCCGCCUAAUAGGCUGCCGGACAAAAGGACGGCGGAAACCGGGGGGGGGGGAACCCUCCCCAGAGGGUAGGCCCGGCGCGUGACCAGACGCGAGAGGGCGUUUAUCGCGCGCAGUGCUCAAGAAGCUCGCGGGGAUAAGGGGCGAGGGGGCAAGGCCGGUGGCAGCCGCCGCGGUGGAAUACCGGACGUGCCCGAGGUGGUGGCGCACCUGAAGUAAUUGGGCCGUCAAGCGGUCCGGUAGCCGGGUCUCAGGUAAGUCCCUGGCUGCGAAUUCCCAGCGGUCUCAAACGCGUCGGGGACCCUGCYGGGGAUACUAGCAAGCCUAGGGACCGGGAGAGGCCGGGGGUACUCCCGGGGUAGGGGUGAAAUCCUAUAGAUCCCAGGAGGACCGCCAGUGGCGAAGGCGCCCGGCUGGAACGGGUCCGACGGUGAGGGACGAAGGCCAGGGGAGCGAACCGGAUUAGAUAGCCCGGGUAGUCCCGGCAUGGUAAAGGAUUGUCGGGCCCCACGGGGGUNUGUGAGGU